ACCUGCAUCAGCCUGACGCACCUGCAGCGGAUUCCGACCUUGAUCACGUUUCCCGGAGCCAAGCCUGGAACUUCGCUGGUCGGGCGCGUCUCGCUGGUUGGCCCUACCAAGCCAUUCCGAUCCGCUGCUGUCCCGGACCCCCGAACCUACCUGGACCCUCGUUCCCCUUCUGACGUCCUCUAGUUUCGAUUCCUGAACAAUCGUUUAACUGAUUAA